rnacentral:rRNA from 1 species
AGCGAACGCUGGCGGCAGGCCUAACACAUGCAAGUCGAACGAACCUUUCGGGGUUAGUGGCGGACGGGUGAGUAACACGUGGGAACGUGCCUUUAGGUUCGGAAUAACUCAGGGAAACUUGUGCUAAUACCGAAUGUGCCCUUCGGGGGAAAGAUUUAUCGCCUUUAGAGCGGCCCGCGUCUGAUUAGCUAGUUGGUUGAGGUAAUGGCUCACCAAGGCGACGAUCAGUAGCUGGUCUGAGAGGAUGAUCAGCCACAUUGGGACUGAGACACGGCCCAAACUCCUACGGGAGGCAGCAGUGGGGAAUCUUGCGCAAUGGGCGAAAGCCUGACGCAGCCAUGCCGCGUGAAUGAUGAAGGUCUUAGGAUUGUAAAAUUCUUUCACCGGGGACGAUAAUGACUGUACCCGGAGAAGAAGCCCCGGCUAACUUCGU